rnacentral:rRNA from 1 species
GACUGGGCGUAAAGGGCGCGUAGGCGGACUGCACAGUCAGGCGUGAAAUUCCUGGGCUUAACCUGGGGACUGCGUCUGAGACGUGUGAUCUAGAGUGAGGAAGAGGGUCGUGGAAUUUCCAGUGUAGAGGUGAAAUUCGUAGAUAUUGGAAAGAACACCGGUGGCGAAGGCGGCGACCUGGUCCUUUACUGACGCUGAGGCGCGAAAGCGUGGGGAGCAAACAGGAUUAGAUACCCUGGUAGUCCACGCUGUAAACGAUGUGUGCUUGAUGUUGGGGUGCUUAGCACUUCAGUGUCGGAGCUAACGCGGUAAGCACACCGCCUGGGGAGU